CCUACGUGUGGCUGCAGUGGGGAAUAUUGGACAAUGGGGGCAACCCUGAUCCAGCCAUGCCGCGUGUGUGAAGAAGGCCCUCGGGUUGUAAAGCACUUUCAGUGAGGAAGAACGCCUGGUGGUUAAUACCCAUCAGGAAAGACAUCACUCACAGAAGAAGCACCGGCUAACUCCGUGCCAGCAGCCGCGGUAAUACGGAGGGUGCGAGCGUUAAUCGGAAUUACUGGGCGUAAAGCGCGCGUAGGUGGCUUGAUAAGCCGGUUGUGAAAGCCCCGGGCUCAACCUGGGAACGGCAUCCGGAACUGUCAAGCUAGAGUGCAGGAGAGGAAGGUAGAAUUCCCGGUGUAGCGGUGAAAUGCGUAGAGAUCGGGAGGAAUACCAGUGGCGAAGGCGGCCUUCUGGACUGACACUGACACUGAGGUGCGAAAGCGUGGGUAGCAAACAGGAUUAGAUACCCGUGUAGUC
rnacentral:rRNA from 1 species